UGUAAUUUGUGUUUUAAUCAUGAUAAAACACUUAAAAGGGAAGUAACUACCACUUAACUUAAGAGAAUGAGUUUGCUAAAAACUCUGCUUAACGUGGGAUAACUACAACCACGAUGGAUGGAGCAAUUAUGGCCUUACACAAUUAAAACCGAUGCAUGGUCUCUCUUCUCGGAUGCCAGUUCAUUUUGAUACAAUCUCCAUCACUUGUAGAACAUUUUUUAGUCCCAGAGAAGAGAAGAACACAACCCUUCAUGCACCACAAGUUCUUGUAGUAAAACCUGCUACUGCAAGCCCUAGUUCCAUUGUGAUUACAUUGUUUCUUGCUUUCUAAUCUUUAUGGUGAACUCAACAAGUUGAUUAUACUUAAGUUCCACAUACAAAGGUUUAUACUCCUCUCCUCGCAGCACGCCAUCGAAGAAGCCCCACGCCGACUCCUUCACUGCUCUCUUAAAGACGUCUCCCACCUCUUCCAUGUCUCCUCAUCUUCUUUUGGUUCCCUCAACAAGUUCCUCAACAAAUUUGCUGCCACUUAUCUCACCCCCACAAACACCUAGAACUCCCAUGCCAUCAACAACUCCAACGUGGAUCGAAUUUAGGGGUUGGGUUGGAUUCGUCCAAAUCUGAAAUUCCCCCAAACCCAGGUCCAUAUUGCAGGGCCGAAGCCGGCAUCCCUCUGCCUCCCUCCUUGUGCUACUACAGAAACCUCAACGACGUUUCCCCCACCCGUCGCCCGCUGCUUGCAACUCCUAAAUCUCGAGGUAAAUUUGGGAGUGAGAUUUGUUCAAAUCCUAAAUUCCCCAGACCCAGCGUCUCCACAAUCUAUUUGGAUUGCUAUUUGGUUUUUACUCGAUUAAGUAGUGCAAUUUGGGGCCGAUAUGAAGAUUCUGCAUAAUUUUUUUCGUUGGAGCAGGUUGCUGGAGAAGAUGGGGAGUAUAGACUCAAAAGACAUUUAAAAGAAGAUGUGGACCCUGCUUGUGCUUUUUUUAGUUUAGUUUUGUAUUAGCUUUAUAUUUAAAUUGGUACUUAUUACAUGAAAUUUUUUUUGUGUUAUACACAUGGCAUCCCUCGUCAUUAAAAAUGUAGAUUUUAUAUAUGUCACGUCAUUAUUUAACAGUUAAUUUAACGGAUUGACUACUAA